rnacentral:rRNA from 1 species
GCAAGUCGUACGGGAACACUCUAGCUUGCUAGGGUAAGUAAAGUGGCGCACGGGUGAGUAUCGCGUGGAUAAUCUACAUUCGAAUUGGGGAUAACGUUGCGAAAGCGACGCUAAUACCGAAUAAUAUCCAUUAACCUUCGGUUUUUUGGAUCAAGGGUGGCCUCUACAUGUAAGCUACUGUUUGAAGAUGAGUCCGCGUACCAUUAGCUUGUUGGUGGGGUAAUGGCCUACCAAGGCAACGAUGGGUAGCUGGUCUGAGAGGAUGAUC